rnacentral:tRNA from 1 species
AAUUAAUGAGCUUGUAAAGCGUUUGUUUUGAAAACUUAAGAAAGAAUUUAUUAUUCUAUUAAUUU